CGGAAGCCUGAUGCAGCGACGCCGCGUGAGGGAUGACGGCCUUCGGGUUGUAAACCUCUUUCGACAGGGACGAAGCGCAAGUGACGGUACCUGUAGAAGAAGCACCGGCCAACUACGUGCCAGCAGCCGCGGUAAUACGUAGGGUGCGAGCGUUGUCCGGAAUUACUGGGCGUAAAGAGCUUGUAGGCGGUUUGUCGCGUCUUCUGUGAAAACUUGGGGCUCAACCUUAAGCUUGCAGGGGAUACGGGCAGACUAGAGUACUUCAGGGGAGACUGGAAUUCCUGGUGUAGCGGUGAAAUGCGCAGAUAUCAGGAGGAACACCGGUGGCGAAGGCGGGUCUCUGGGAAGUAACUGACGCUGAGAAGCGAAAGCGUGGGUAGCGAACAGGAUUAGAUACCCUGGUAGUCCACGCCGUAAACGGUGGGUACUAGGUGUGGGUUUCCUUCCACGGGAUCCGUGCCGUAGCUAACGCAUUAAGUAC
rnacentral:rRNA from 1 species